rnacentral:miRNA from 1 species
GGUUAGCUCAAGGAUCUCAC